GUCUCUAAAGUCACAUACGACAUUAUUAUACACGGUUCUAAAAUACACGGUUCUUCAAAUGCCAUUGAGUUUUAAAUUAUGGUAUAUUUUGUGUAUGAGCCCAUGCAGUAAUAACAUAAAUGGCAAUUUUUAUGUAUGAUUUAAUAGUUUAUUUGAAUAAAAAUCUAAAAGGUGUACCUUAUAGCUGACACCUACAUGAACACUUUACAUUUGGUUGUGUGUAUCAGUCAUUCCCUUCAAUUGCUACUGAAGUUAGAAACGUGUUUAACAAUGUCUUAUGUAACUUUAGAGACGGUCCCUUAAUUUCCGCAUAUCCGCGAAUAUCGAACGUCCGACGUCAAGCCAACGUUAAGGUUAAGGACAGCGUGCUUUCAGAGUAGCCCAAGGUUUCAGUAAACGACAUAGGUCAAUAAACCACUUUGUCAGGAUGACAGAAUCUACAUCAAGAUCGGAUCAAGAGCCACCGAACAGAACCCUGAGUAAACUCUCAGAACAGCCAGACGGGAGAGAAGCCCAGAGGUACACCGUCGCCCAUCGAACCGUCAUCAGGCUGUACAGGAAUCUGCAGUCAUGCAGCAAUAUAAAGGAGUAUAAAGGUCACGAUCACAGAGCAGAUUGUUGCAUGUAUCGGGACAGUUCAGGAGUGUGCAGCCAUUACAGGUUCACUUCAGCGUCUCAGAGCGGUGAGGAACCUCUCCACAGGGAACAGACUUUAGAAAUCGCAGAAGGUGUCUCUCGCUCAGAGAAACAGGUGCCCAUCGCUGAAGUCCAGACAUUUUCUCGAGGCCGGAGCGAUAGUGAAAGUCAUGACGAUAACCUGCCCAGAACACAUCGCCUCCUUUUCUUCAUCAUCAUCCUCAUCCUUCUCCUCCUCACGCUCUUGGUUUUAAUCCCCUACAUGCAAUACGAACAGACGUCACCGUGCUUUUAGAGAUAUUCAGCACACUGUAAUAUCUUACACGUAUACACGUGGCGUUCCCAGCACACUCUUCUGAGACAACAAUCAUUAAACCUGUAAACCUCUGCAGACUCUUCGCUUUAUUUACACGUCUGAUGAUCACUUUUCGUGUGUCAGAGUCCGAGUGCUGUUGGUCUGAAAUAAGCAUUUGUACUCAGAG
ensembl:lncRNA